CCACAAUGGACGAAAGUCUGAUGGAGCGACGCCGCGUGCGGGAUGAAGGCCUUAUGGGUUGUAAACCGCUGUCAGGGGGAAGAACAUCGGAAUGAACAAUACUCACUCCGACUGACGUUACCCCCAGAGGAAGCUCCGGCCAACUCCGUGCCAGCAGCCGCGGGUAAUACGGGGGGAGCAAGCGUUGUCCGGAAUUAUUGGGCGUAAAGGGCGUGUAGGCGGCGAGGUAAGUCGAAUGUGAAAUCUCACGGGCUCAACCGUGAAACUGCGUUCGAAAACUACCCUGCUUGAGUACGGGAGAGGUGUACGGAAUUCCUGGUGUAGCGGUGGAAUGCGUAGAUAUCAGGAA
rnacentral:rRNA from 1 species